GUGGAGGGAACGAGGGGAAGUGAAACAUCUCAGUACCCUCAGGAAGAGAAAACAAUAGUGAUUCCGUGAGUAGUGGCGAGCGAAAGCGGAUGAGGCUAAACCAUGCACAUGUGAUACCGGGUAGGGGUUGUGUGUGUGGUGUUGUGGGGUUCAUCUUUCCAGCUCUACCUGGCUGGACAGCAGUAAGAAAGUGUCAUGUUAGGUGAAGUGGCCUGGAAUGGUCCGCCGGAGAGGGUGAGAGUCCCGUAACUGAAAACGUGGUGCCUGUUGUGAUGGAUACCCGAGUAGCAGCGAGCCCGUGGAAUUUGCUGUGAAUCUGCCGGGACCACCCGGUAAGCCUGAAUACUACCUUGCGACCGAUAGCGGACAAGUACCGUGAGGGAAAGGUGAAAAGUACCCCGGGAGGGGAGUGAAAUAGUACCUGAAACCGUGUGCUUACAAUCCGUCAGAGCCCUCGUUGUGGGGUGAUGGCGUGCCUUUUGAAGAAUGAGCCUGCGAGUCAGUGCUCGGUGGCGAGGUUAACCCGUCUGGGGGUAGCCGUAGCGAAAGCGAGUCCGAAUAGGGCGUUUGAGUCGCCGGGUCUGGACCCGAAGCGGAGUGAUCUACCCAUGGCCA
rnacentral:rRNA from 1 species